rnacentral:rRNA from 1 species
CCUACGGGAGGCAGCAGUGGGGAAUAUUGGACAAUGGGGGGAACCCUGAUCCAGCGACGCCGCGUGAGUGAAGAAGUAUUUCGGUAUGUAAAGCUCUAUCAGCAGGGAAGAAAGAAAUGACGGUACCUGACUACGAAGCCCCGGCUAACUACGUGCCAGCAGCCGCGGUAAUACGUAGGGGGCAAGCGUUAUCCGGAUGUACUGGGUGUAAAGGGAGCGUAGACGGCGAUGCAAGUCUGAAGUGAAAGGCGGGGGCCCAACCCCCGGACUGCUUUGGAAACUGUAUGGCUGGAGUGCAGGAGAGGUAAGUGGAAUUCCUAGUGUAGCGGUGAAAUGCGUAGAUAUUAGGAGGAACACCAGUGGCGAAGGCGGCUUACUGGACUGUAACUGACGUUGAGGCUCGAAAGCGUGGGGAGCAAACAGGAUUAGAUACCCUAGUAGUC